AUACUUACCUGGACGGGGUCCAUGGGCGAUCAGGAAGGUUCAUGGCCUAGGUCAGUGAUGUCCAUUGCACAUAGGAUGGGUGCUGGCUUAAGGUCUCCCCGAGAGGGAGAGCCUACGUCAUAAUUUGUGGUAGAGGGGGCUGCGCAAGUCGCGGCCCCUG
rfam:Populus trichocarpa scaffold_5_contig_124, whole genome shotgun sequence.